AUGGACGCCAAGAAGCCGAUCCCGGCUGCCGUCCAGCGGGCCAUCGACUGGGCGCUCGUCACUGCCUGCUUCCCGUUCGUCUCCUUGGCGUUCGCCUACGCGCUCGUCCGCUACGACGUCAGCUGCAGCGAGUGCGUGGUGGCGUUGACGGACGCGCAGAACGCGGAGGUGGGUGCCCUCUGGUUCGGGAUGCUGUGCUGCGCCGUGCUCCAGGCUGCCGCCGCGGCGCUGGCGCUGCUGCUCCCCGCCCUCGCCCACCUCGCGCUCGCGAUCACCAUCGUCGGCCACUACAUGUACGCCGUCGUCUUCCGCCUCCUCCUCGCCGCCGGCGCAGGAUUCCUCUUCAGCAAUAUCUUCAGCCCCGCGAGCAUCGUCCUCUUCGCGGGCGGCGACCUCGUCUACUUCCUGGGGCUCCUUCAGGGAGGUGGACUGAAUGACUGA
rnacentral:rRNA from 1 species